ACCCGGUGGCGGCGAAUUCGGCAACAGCUAUUUAACUUGCGUAGGCAGUUACCCUUUGAUCCAGAAAUCCCACUUCGAAGAAUGUAUUACAGUGAUGAAAAGAAGUAAUGCAUAUACCCACGCCCAUUCUUGGCCGCAGGAUUUGUAAUAGCAAAGGACUGACUGGACGUAGUCCGAGAUUCUUUGGGAGUGGAGCCUCCUGGGAGAAAGUGGGGAGAUCCGAAAAUACAGAAGUUAGAAACAGUUUGUAACCGUUUAAGUCAUCCAGGAUUAGGGUGGCCCAUAACUUACUGCUGAGACUGAGCCACUUCUGAGAGUACCAGAAUGUUAACUGGAUGAGAAAGCAAGAAACAGGAGGAGCCACUAAAGGUCUGCCCACGGUAAUGGGGACAAUGGGCAACAGCAAAGUCACCUUCUGAACUUAAGGUACAUGGAGUGUGAAGAAUAAACGAUUUUUCCUUGAGAAAGCUGCAAUGGACAUGGUGUCCUCCAGGCAGAGUUAAAGUUCCAGGACAGAGGAGCGCACCAGGAAUAGCCUCAUGAUAUGGGAGUGGCAGUGAGAGUUUGGGAUGUGGGAGAGACAAGGGCUGAAUGAAUCACAGGCAGGGAAGAACACAAUAUCAUGAGAUGGUGGUGUGGGAGAAACUUCCCCUGCUGACUUCUUCUUUGUGGAGGGACCAGUGGAGCAGUCUUCCUGGAGUAUCUCUGAGGACCAUGGGUAGUGGCUAGACAGCGUGGGCUCUGGCACCGUGGAGGAACACAGUUAAAGUUUAAGCUGAGUUGGAUUUUAACUGUGUCUUACUACCUUACUCUUUCGGCAUGUUUCCUCCUAGCCAAAGAGCAUCUACCUUCUGACAAGGGACCUGUGUUGACCUGAAUUAAGAUUUCUGCUACUUUGGGGGUGGGGAGUGGGAAGGUAUUUUUUUUCUUUUGGUUUAGCACUUCAUAAAGUUUUGCCUGUUCAUUUUAUUUGGAUUGCCCUUAAUUGUCGGGAAUAUUUGCCUCUGAUUUAAAUACACAACUUUAAUGCCAUCUGCAAUGGACUGUGUUUUCCAAAGAAGGCCAUGACUGUAUCUCUCUUACCCAUCAAGAAGUGGAGUCCCUUUCUCUCUCUCCCCCUUGAAUGUGGGUGGACCCUGUGACUGCUUUGGCCAAUAGAAGACAGCAGAAGUGAUGGUGGACUUAGCACUUAUUGGCUGGCAGCAUCUCUUCCUGCCUCCUUUAGCCCUGAACACUCAUGAAGGAGGCUACUCCAUCAGAGAGAGAGACCACCUGAAGGAGCACUGAGGCAUCAGCCGUGAGGUGAAGAUGCCAUCUUGGACACCCAGCCCCAUCAAACCUUCAGAAGAUCCCAGCCCCAGUUCUUAUCCAAAUGCAGGUACACCAGAGAGCAUGGAGAACCACCCAGAUGCAUCAACCCACAGAUUCCUGAGAGAUCAUGAUAAAUAGCUGUAUCAAGCCUCUAAGUCCUGGUUUGUGCUCAAGGCUUCUUGGGGACCUCUGUGUCUCAUGUUUGUGUCGUAGUAAAGCUUUGUGCUUUGAGUUUUAAAAUAUAAACUGAU